UCCAUCGUGAGGUGGAAUCUGAAGGAAGCCGGCGGCAAAGCUCCGACCCGAGGAACACGAACAGUAUCAGGCGCAAAACGUGGGGUAAGGCUGCCAUUCAAGCUGAAGCCCAAAAGCUACACGGAUACGUUAGCGUAAAUGCUGCGGGUACAUGGAACGAAAGUGAAUCGU
rfam:Desulfitobacterium metallireducens DSM 15288, complete genome.